CAUAAAAAUUUAAUUUAUAUUUUAUAAUUUAAUAUAUAAAUAAUAAUAUAAAUAAAAUUUUAAAUUAAAAUUUAAUUUAAAUAAUUAUUUUUUAUAAAGCUUAAUAUUUAAAAUGAAAAAAUUUUAUGAAAAUAUUUUUAGUAAUUUAUAAUAUAAAUAAUAAAUUUAGUGCCAGCAAUUGCGGUUAAACUAUUAUUUAAAAUAAAUUUAAUUAAUUAAUAAUAAAUUAAUUAAAAUUAUAAGGUUAAUAAUAAAAAAAAAUUAUAUGGUGAAAUAUUAAUAAUUAAGAAUUAUUAAUUUUAAUUUUUAAAAUAAAUUAGUAAAAUUUUAGGAUAAACUAGGAUUAGAGACCCUAUUAUAAAAAUUAAAUAAAAUUUAAUUUAAAAAAUAAAUGUAAAUCAUUAAAUUUAAAUAAUUUGGCGGUAUUUUAGAUAAUUAGAGGAAUUUGUUAUAUAAAUGAUAAUCCACGAUAGGAUAGUCCUUAAAAAUUUUUUAUGUAUUGUUGUUUAAAAAUUAUUUUAAUAGAAAAAUAAUUAAUAAAUUUAAGUAAAAUUAUAAUUCAAAUCAAAAUGUAGAAUAUUAAGGAAUAAAUGAAUUACAUUUUUUUUUAAUAAUAGAUUUAUAUUUUUAAUAAUAUAAUGAAAGAGGAUUUAAAUGUAAUUUUAUAAAAUAUUAUAAAUUGAAAUUUUAAUUAAAAUAUGUACAAAUUGCCCGUCAUUUUCAUGAAUAAAUUAAUUGAAAGAAGUCGUAACAAAGUAAAUGUAUUGGAAGAUGUAUUUAGUUA
rnacentral:ncRNA from 1 species